AGCAGCCGCGGUAAUUCCAGCUCCAAUAGCGUAUAUUAAAGUUGUUGCAGUUAAAAAGCUCGUAGUUGAAUUUCGGGAUCAAUAUGUCGGUCGUGCCUCGGUACGUACUGGCAUCAUUGGUUUCUCCCUUCUGACGAACCAUGAUGUCAUUAAUUUGAUGUCGUGGAGAAUCAGGACUGUUACUUUGAAAAAUUAGAGUGUUUAAAGCAGGCUAACGCUUGAAUACAUUAGCAUGGAAUAAUGAAAUAGGACGUUCGAUCCUAUUUUGUUGGUUUCUAGGAUCGACGUAAUGAUUAAUAGGGAUAGUUGGGGGCAUUAGUAUUCAAUUGUCAGAGGUGAAAUUCUUGGAUUUAUUGAAGACUAACUACUGCGAAAGCAUUUGCCAAGGAUGUUUUCAUUAAUCAAGAACGAAAGUUAGGGGAUCGAAGACGAUCAGAUACCGUCGUAGUC
rnacentral:rRNA from 1 species